rnacentral:rRNA from 1 species
CCUACGGUGGGCAGCAGUGGGGGAUAUUGCACAAUGGGGGGAACCCUGAUGCAGCGACGCCGCGUGGGUGAAGGAGUGCUUCGGCAUGUAAAGCCCUAUCGGCAGGGCAGAAGCAAGACGGUACCUGACUCCGCCGCCCCGGCUAACUACGUGCCAGCAGCCGCGGUAAUACGUCGGGGGCGAGCGUUAUCCGGAUUCACUGGGUGUAAAUGGAGCGUAGACGGCCAUGCCAGCCAGGGGUGAAAGCCCGGGGCCCAACCCCGGGACUGCCCUUGGAACUGUGCGGCUAGAGUGCGGGAGGGGCAGGCGGAAGUCCUGGUGGAGCGGGGAAAUGCGGAGAUAGAAGGAGGAACACCGGCGGGGAAGGCGGCCUGCUGGACCGCGACUGACGUUGAGGCUCGAAAGCGUGGGGAGCGAACAGGAUUAGAUACCCCAGUAGUC